rnacentral:rRNA from 1 species
AUACGGAGGGAGCAAGCGUUAUUCGGAAUCACUGGGCGUAAAGGACGCGUAGGCGGGUUUGUAAGUCAGGUGUGAAAUCCUACAGCUCAACUGUAGAACUGCACUUGAAACUACAGACCUAGAGUAUGGAAGGGGCAGAUGGAAAUAGUGGUGUAGGGGUAAAAUCCGUAGAUAUCACUAGGAAUACCGAAAGCGAAGGCGAUCUGCUGGGACAUUACUGACGCUGAGGCGUGAAAGCGUGGGGAGCAAACAGGAUUAGAAACCCUAGUAGUCC